rnacentral:rRNA from 1 species
CUGAGUACGGCGGAACACGUGAAAUUCCGUCGGAAUCCGGGAGGACCAUCUCCCAAGGCUAAAUACUCCCUAGUGACCGAUAGUGAACCAGUACCGUGAGGGAAAGGUGAAAAGCACCCCGGAAGGGGAGUGAAACAGUUCCUGAAACCGUGUGCCUACAAGUAGUUAGAGCCCGUUAAUGGGUGAUAGCGUGCCUUUUGUAGAAUGAACCGGCGAGUUACGAUUUGUUGCAAGGUUAAGCGGAAAAAGCGGAGCCGUAGCGAAAGCGAGUCUGAAUAGGGCGCAUAAGUAACAGGUCGUAGACCCGAAACCAGGUGAUCUACCCAUGUCCAGGAUGAAGGUAAGGUAAUACUUACUGGAGGUCCGAACCCACGCACGUUGAAAAGUGCGGGGAUGAGGUGUGGGUAGCGGAGAAAUUCCAAUCGAACUUGGAGAUAGCUGGUUCUCUCCGAAAUAGCUUUAGGGCUAGCCUCGAGGUAAAGAGUCAUGGAGGUAGAGCACUGUUUGGACUAGGGGCCCUUCUCGGGUUACCGAAUUCAGAUAAACUCCGAAUGCCAUGUACUUAUACUCGGGAGUCAGACUGCGAGUGAUAAGAUCCGUAGUCGAAAGGGAAACAGCCCAGACCACCAGUUAAGGUCCCCAAAUAUAUGUUAAGUGGAAAAGGAUGUGGGGUUGCUUAGACAACCAGGAUGUUGGCUUAGAAGCAGCCACCAUUGAAAGAGUGCGUAAUAGCUCACUGGUCGAGUGACCCCGCGCCGAAAAUGUACCGGGGCUAAACAUAUUACCGAAACUGUGGAUGAACCUCUUUAGAGGUUCGUGGUAGGAGAGCGUUCUAAGGGCGGUGAAGUCAGACCGGAAGGACUGGUGGAGCGCUUAGAAGUGAGAAUGCCGGUAUGAGUAGCGAAAGAAGGGUGAGAAUCCCUUCCACCGAAUAUCUAAGGUUUCCUGAGGAAGGCUCGUCCGCUCAGGGUUAGUCGGGACCUAAGCCGAGGCCGAUAGGCGUAGGCGAUGGACAACAGGUAGAGAUUCCUGUACCAGUGCUAAUUGUUUAACCGAUGGGGUGACACAGAAGGAUAGGGAAUCGCACGAAUGGAAAUGUGCGUCCAAGCAGUGAGUGUGAGAAGUAGGCAAAUCCGCUUCUCGCGAAGCAUGAGCUGUGAUGGGGAAGGAAAUUAAGUACGGAAGUUCCUGAUUUCACGCUGUCAAGAAAAGCCUCUAGGAAGAGUAGUACUGCCCGUACCGCAAACCGACACAGGUAGAUGAGGAGAGAAUCCUAAGGUGAGCGAGAGAACUCUCGUUAAGGAACUCGGCAAAAUGACCCCGUAACUUCGGGAGAAGGGGUGCUCUAUUAGGGUGCAAGCCCGAGAGAGCCGCAGUGAAUAGGCCCAGGCGACUGUUUAGCAAAAACACAGGUCUCUGCAAAACCGUAAGGUGACGUAUAGGGGCUGACGCCUGCCCGGUGCUGGAAGGUUAAGAGGAGUGCUUAGCUUCGGCGAAGGUACGAAUUGAAGCCCCAGUAAACGGCGGCCGUAACUAUAACGGUCCUAAGGUAGCGAAAUUCCUUGUCGGGUAAGUUCCGACCCGCACGAAAGGCGCAACGAUCUGGGCACUGUCUCAACGAGAGACUCGGUGAAAUUAUAGUACCUGUGAAGAUGCAGGUUACCCGCGACAGGACGGAAAGACCCCGUGGAGCUUUACUGCAACCUGAUAUGGAAUGUUUGUACCGCUUGUACAGGAUAGGUAGGAGCCGAAGAGACGUGUGCGCUAGCAUACGAGGAGGCAAUGGUGGGAUACUACCCUGGCUGUAUGACCAUUCUAACCCGCCACGCUUAGCGCGUGGGGAGACAGUGUCAGGUGGGCAGUUUGACUGGGGCGGUCGCCUCCUAAAGAGUAACGGAGGCGCCCAAAGGUUCCCUCAGAAUGGAUGGA